rnacentral:rRNA from 1 species
GACGAACGCUGGCGGCGUGCUUAACACAUGCAAGUCGAACGGAAAGACCCUGCUUUUGUGGGGUGCUCGAGUGGCGAACGGGUGAGUAACACGUGAGUAACCUGCCCUUGACUUUGGGAUAACUUCAGGAAACUGGGGCUAAUACCGGAUAGGAGCUCCUGCUGCAUGGCGGGGGUUGGAAAGUUUCGGCGGUUGGGGAUGGACUCGCGGCUUAUCAGCUUGUUGGUGGGGUAGUGGCUUACCAAGGCUUUGACGGGUAGCCGGCCUGAGAGGGUGACCGGCCACAUUGGGACUGAGAUACGGCCCAGACUCCUACGGGAGGCAGCAGUGGGGAAUAUUGCACAAUGGGCGGAAGCCUGAUGCAGCAACGCCGCGUGCGGGAUGACGGCCUUCGGGUUGUAAACCGCUUUCGCCUGUGACGAAGCGUGAGUGACGGUAAUGGGUAAAGAAGCACCGGCUAACUACGUG